UACGUAGGGGGCAAGCGUUGUCCGGAUUUAUUGGGCGUAAAAGGCUUGUAGGUGGCCACGCCAAGUCGGAUGUGAAAUCUCCCGGCUCAACUGGGAGGGGUCAUUCGAUACUGGUGGGCUCGAGGCCGGUAGGGGGAAGCGGAAUUCCCGGUGUAGUGGUGGAAUGCGUAGAUAUCGGGAGGAACACCAGUGGCGAAGGCGGCUUCCUGGACCGGUUCUGACGCUGAGGUGCGAAAGCGUGGGGAGCAAACAGG
rnacentral:rRNA from 1 species